UCUCCCCUCUCUUACUUUUCUCUCUCCUCUCGCCUUCGUUUCUACUUUCUAGGGUUAGAGUUCCUAGGUUUCACUUCCGAUCCUCGCCGUCGUCCCUCACCAAAUCGCCUCCUAAUCGCCUUCAUCCUCAUUCGCUUCCCGUCGUCGGCCUUCCACCGCUUCCCGUCGUCGACCUUCAAUCGCUUCCCAACGUCGGUCUUCCAUCGCUUCCCGUCGAGUAUUUAGGCGAUAAUUUGAAGGAGAUCAAGUAUGAUGCAGCAACCGAAGUCGCAGCGGACGUUCUCUCAAGGAUUUCCGUCACAGAAGAACGGAGUUUUCUCUCAAAUCUCCCAGAACUCCAUUGACGCGAUCCUCACUGACAUCAGCAGCAAUUGAGGGGCAGGAGGCAAGUGUAGUUACUGAAUACAUUCUCAAGUUUCAGUUGAAUGUGUGAGCGUGUGUAAAUUAAAGCUAUGGAGAGGAGAAGGGAGUAGUGGAAGGUAUGAUUAUAGUGUAUUUUUGUGUGCCUGGAAGGCACCUAGGACUCUUACUGGUUCAUUUAAUUGAUUUGAUUUUGAUUUAUUCCACUAAAUUGAUUGAUGAAGCAGUUUCGAAGAUGGCAGAGGAUCUUCAUCCUCUUUCUUCUCUAACUUCCUGUAUUUUCUCCUCUGGGUGGGGAUUCAACGGUGCAGGGUUCGAGGACGAGUGACGGCAAGGUGGAGUCUGGAUCAGAAAGAAGAGAUUAGUAUUAUUAACUGUAUUCUGCUUUGUGAUUUGAUGAUUUGAUGAUUUGAUGAUGAUUAUGAUAUAUGGGAGAAUUGUUAAUGAUGUUACUGAUUUUGCAUUUGUAGGAACUCAACAACAAUCAAUGUUUGUAUUGGGUCAUUUUCCUAGAGGUAUGCCUGAUUUUAGAAGUGUCGAAUUUCUAUUUACCUUUGGCUGUUUGUUUUCAUGCUGGUUGUUCCACGCUGUUGUUUCUGCAAUAUUGCUUUUUGUUUUGGGGGAAUUCAUACAAUCGAACCUGUUACUGAAGAUGACUGGGAGGUUGUUGAGCUCAACGCUCAGAGUGCAGAGGCUGCUAUAUAUCUUGAAUCGGGUUUUUUCUCCCUUUGGUUGUUUUUCCUGGUUCUUUUGAUAAUAAAUAAUAGGUUUCUUAUUAAAAAGUAGGUUUUUUCACAGAUUGUGUGGUUCAAGUUGUUAUGGUUUUGGGUUUUAUGAAUGAUCACUGAUACCCUAAUACUAAUAGGCAUGUUUUCUCUCAAUAAAUCAAACAGUUAUAUAUAUAAAAAAAAACUUUGCCAUGUGAUUCAUUUCACCAUUUUUAAAUUUUUAUACGUGAGGGCCAAUUGGGAUUGUGGGGAAUAUACCACUUGAAGAAGUGGAAGCAGAGGAUCUUUGUGGAUGACCAUUAGAGAGAAAAUAUUGGUUCAUGCAAGACUUGCUCCUAUUGGAUUAAGGCUUUGGCACUGUCGUUGAAAAGUAAGGGCUUGCAUUUUUGUCUCUUUUGCUUGGUUGUUGAACAAUUUUCCCAAUCACUGUGAUUUUUCACAUUCAUAUCAACUGUGUCUUAGGAAAUGGGAGUUAUUUUUGUUAGUGUUGGUAUUCUGGGUUGUAAUUUGAUUGCAAUUUAGGAAAUUAGUUUUAAUUUUGGAGCUCAUUGAUGCAUUGUUUGCGUGCAUAAAAUCUCAAGUAAAUUGCAUUCUUGCAUCCACUAAUUAUAUAUCAGCUUGCUUUUUUUUUUCUUUCACCACUAUAACACUUCCUAGAGGAGACAUUUCAGUUACAGAAGUUUAUAGUCGCAACAGGACAGAAGAUGAUAGAAGUACAGUCCAAAAUAGCUGCUGGUUUUGUUGUUGAGAUCACGAAUGAGCUUGACGGACCAUCUAAGUAGUGACUUCAGAAAACCUGAACAAAAACUCAGGUUUCUUUUUGAUAUUUUGUAUAUUCUGUGUUUCAGUCAAUUGGUGCAAGAAAUAGAUGGAUUAUAUUAUCUGGUGACAUUGUAAAUAAACUCCAAAAAUAAAGAAGUAUGAUGUUUGUUUGAUACUGCUAAAGAUCAGA